rnacentral:rRNA from 1 species
UACGAAGGGGGCUAGCGUUGCUCGGAAUCACUGGGCGUAAAGCGCACGUAGGCGGAUUGCUAAGUCAGGGGUGAAAUCCUGGAGCUCAACUCCAGAACUGCCUUUGAUACUGGCGAUCUCGAGUCCGGGAGAGGUGAGUGGAACUGCGAGUGUAGAGGUGAAAUUCGUAGAUAUUCGCAAGAACACCAGUGGCGAAGGCGAAUCCCUGGAAAAUACCUGACACUGAGGCACGAAAGCUAGGGGAGCAAACAGG